rnacentral:rRNA from 1 species
AUGCAUUUCUUCAACGUUCCUACGGCCGUGCUGCAGCUCUUCGUGCUGCUCAUCUUGGCCUCCCCCACCACCGCAUGCACCAAGCAGGAGAAGUGCUACCUCCUCCGUUUCCUUGCCGGGCUGUCCAGAGAUGGCGGCCUCGCCACAUCGUGGCGUGACAGCAGCACGGACUGCUGCGAGUGGUUAGGCAUCACCUGCAAUGGAGACGGGACUGUCACUGAGGUCUCCCUGGCAUCUAGAGGACUUGAAGGGCGCAUCUCACGGUCCCUUGCCGACCUCACCAGCCUGCUACAUGUCAACCUCUCCUACAACUCCUUCUCCGGUGGCCUUCCGCCAGAGCUCAUGUCCUCCAGAAGCAUCAUCGUCCUUGAUGUCAGCUUCUGCCAGCUCAAUGGACCGCUGCCUGAGCUGCCUUCUUUGGUUACCACCGACUGGCCUCUGCAGGUACUCAACAUCUCAAGCAACCAGUUCAGCUCAGAAUUUCCAUCAGCCACAUGGAAGAUGAUGAAGAAUCUGAUCGCGCUCAACGCCAGCAAUAACAGCUUCACUGGGCAAAUACCAUCUUCUCUUUGCCUUGGGUCACCAUCUUUGGCUUUGCUUGACCUCUGUUACAACCAAUUGAGUGGUGAUAUUCCCACCGCACUAGGUGAUUGCUCCAAGCUCAAAGUGCUCAAGGUUGGCCAUAACAACCUAAGUGGGACUCUCCCUGUUGAAAUCUUCUGCGCUACCUCGCUAGAGUACCUCUCCUUCCCCAACAAUGCUUUACAAGGAGAACUUGAUGGAGCACACAUAGUCAAACUCAGUAAUCUGCUUACUCUUGACCUUGGAGGAAACAGUUUCAGUGGCAACUUCCCAGAGUCCAUAGAUCAGCUCAGGAGGCUGGAGGAGCUCCAUUUGGGUAGCAACAAAAUGUCUGGAGAGCUGCCAUCAACUCUGAGCAACUGUACACAUCUCAAAACCAUUGAUCUCAAGAUCAACAACUUCAGUGGAGAUCUGGGCAAUAUCAACUUCUCCUCCCUUCAAAGUUUAAAAUACUUAGAUCUUAUAAGGAAUAAUCUCAGUGGCAUAGUUCCAGAAAGCAUUUACUCAUGCAGCAAUUUGACUGCACUGCGGCUGUCAGACAACCAUUUCCAUGGUGAGAUCUCACUAAGAAUAGGCAAUCUGAAGCACCUGUCCUUCCUAUCACUUAGUCAAAACUCCUUUACAAAUAUCACAAAAGCUUUGCAUGCCAUUAAGAGCUGCAGGAACAUCAGCACCCUGCUCAUUGGCAGAAACUUCAUGAAUGAGGCCAUGCCACAAGAUGAAACCAUUGACGGUUUUCAGAAUCUUCAAUGUCUUGCCAUGGAAUGGUGUUCGUUGACUGGAAGGAUACCUAUUUGGUUAUCAAAGCUCAGAAAUCUUAAGAUCCUAGUAUUACUCAGUAAUCGACUCACUGGACCAAUGCCAAGAUGGAUCAACUCCCUAAACCACCUCUUCCGUCUGGACAUAUCAAAUAACAGUCUUACUGGGAAAAUCCCAAUGACCUUGAUGGAGAUGCCAAUGCUAAAAUCAGACAAGCCUGCCAUCUAUUUGGACCCAAGCCUCCUUGAUCUACCAAUUUAUGUGGACAGUGCUAAUGGUAAACUUCAGUACCGCAUGGGCAGUGCUUGGCCCAAAGUGCUGAAUCUCGGCAACAAUAAAUUCACGGGUGUGAUUCCCCAAGAGAUUAGUCAUCUGAAAGCACUCCUUUACCUGAACUUGAGUUUCAACAACUUCUAUGGAGAAAUCCCACAAUCGAUCGGCAACCUCGCUAUCCUUCAGAGGCUAGAUUUGUCUAAUAACCAUCUGAGUGGUGAAAUUCCUGCAGCUUUGCAGAUCCUUCACUUCCUUUCGGAGUUCAACAUUUCUAACAACGACCUAGAAGGACCUAUUCCAACAACAGGCCAGCUAAGCACAUUUCAAGCUUCUAGUUUUAAUGGGAACCCAAAGCUGUGCGGCCCUAUGCUUAUUAACCAUUGUGAUUCAGUUGAAGCACCUCCCAUCUCCAUCAUCUCUGCAAAACAAUGCAGCAAUAAGGUCAUCUUUGUGAUUGCCUUUGGUUUGUUCUUUGGGGUAGGAGUGCUAUAUGACCAGUUAGUAUUAUUCAGAUAUUUUGGCUGA